AGUUGGUAAAACAAAAUGGCACAAAUAUCGCCAAAGAAACCGUACGAUUCCGGCAACAAAAAUUCUUGGAUGGCGUUUAAUCCACUUUCCAGUCUCCAUUUCUUGCCAAUCACCCUUGGCCUUCUGGCAGUAAUUGCUUUUUUCACAGCGUAUGGCAUGGCAGUGUAUUAUGGACAUGUUGAUGCCCUUUUUCCUUACAUAAGUGAUGCAGGUAGUAGGGUACCUGAGAGCUGCAUUUUUGGACAGUUUUUAAAUCUUGCUGCAUUCGUAGCAUUUGCAGCAAUGUAUAUUCAUUAUAAGCACAUCAAGGAAUUUAACAUCACUAGUAUGCCACUUGUUAAGAAAUUGAAUAACAUCUCUAUCUGGCUAUCCGCUUUUACUUGUCUUGGACUGUCUAUGGUGGCAAAUUUUCAGUACACUAGCAUCUCAGUGCCUCAUUUUAUUGGAGCGUUCCUUGUAUUUGGACUGGGUAUCCUCUACUGCUGGAUUCAGAGUGUUAUUUCCUACAAAAUGAAGAACCAAGGGAUGAGUACCGCAUUGACAGCCUUCACACGCUUUGCUCUUUCGUUUGCAUCAACCAUUUUUUUCCUCAUCACUUUAAUUGGAGCUGGUGUGGCAAAUAGUGAAUGGAAGAGUGCCCAUGGGUCUAGGAACAUCACAGGCAAUACCACCAUCACACCCACUACCCCACUGGAUAGUUGGACAUCUGAUCAGUCGGGAUAUGACAGCCACUUAGCCAGCACUUUCAGUGAGUGGUUGAUGGGAUUCAGUUUUCUGCUGUUCUUCAUGACUUACUACCGAGAAUUCAAGAAAAUCACCAUCGCCAUAAAGGUGGUCCCCAAAGAGGCUGAGGUGUUUAGUCCAUCCAGUGAUGAUGUUAUUGGUAUUGUCGCAUAGCAACCAAGGAAGGGGACUGUAGAGGUAGCGCAAGUUCCAUUCUGUUAGCAGGCAGAAAGCUCAACCAAUCAGUGAAGUGAUAUUACAACAAACAAACAACAAACGAGGAGUACCUUUAUUACUCUCCUUAAAAGGACAACAGGAGGCAUUUGUGUACAUCAUAAUAAAAUCUGUUGCGCCUUCACUUAAUAGAAAAAAAUAUGGUUUAAUGACAAAAAAACUUGUCUGCACUUAUAUUUUAAUACACUGAAUGUAUUGAAACAAUGCGAAUGUUUAAUAUACCGGAAUUGUUAUGAUGCGUAUUUUUUUUAUCUGAAUUCAAAUGCUGCGAAUUUUUAAUUAACCCAAUCCAGUAGGGGUCGACGCUUCUUCAUAAACUGUUCCCAAGAAAUGCAAACUAUGCUUGCGAAGUCGAUUUGGAUGACUGACCAGCGAUGACUGAUCAGAUUUGUUAUGGGAAAGGAUACAUCAUACAAUAACUGCUUGACGAAGAUAUCUUUAAAAUAGUGCGCCAUGGAGAAUACUGUCAAAACUCCACAGCUGAAAUACGGAGGGGGUCCUAGCUGUUACUGGUGCGGAAAGACGGUUUAUGGUAACGAGAGAAACGACGAGGGUGGACGGACUUUCCAUCGCUCCUGCUUCUACUGCUUUGAUUGCAGAAAAGCCUUGGACUCUACUAAUCUGUGCUCUCGGGUCAAAAAUGGGUUCGAGCUCUUAUGCAAGACCUGUUAUGCCAAAAAGCACGGCCCCAAGGGGGUAGGGUUCGGGAUUGGUGCCGGCGCUCUGCGCUUCACGUGAUCAACAUGGAUGAAAUGACGUCAUUUAUUCAAUUGUCGCGUCGUAAUCUUUCUAUAAUGGCUAACUCGUUAAAAAAGUACACAAACAUGGGCGGUUAUCAUUCAAGCCUGAAAUACAUAGGAUCUUCACUUAUUUCUUCGUUCUCGUUUGUGCUUUAUCUACUUUUUUUUGGAUUGUACAUUUUUUUUCAAGGAAAAAUGUAAACAGUUUAAUGGACAUAAUUUACAAGAGUUUGUUUUAAUCUUUACCCCCCCCCCCCCCCUCAUACUUUACUGAUGACGUCCUUUCUUUGUUUCCUUAGCUUAUCGAUAUAAUAUACACAAGAAAUUUAUCAUUUUCCUUGUACCCCAAACACAGUAAUAUUAUGUGUACACUUCCUGUCAAAUUAACUUUCGAUUUCAUAAAUAAUUCCACCCCAUCAAUUCCUUGAGGAAUAAUAAUAAUUGGGUAUGUAAAAGUGUACCGGCAUGCACCUAGGGUUGAGCACAGGGGUUGCACCCCUAUUCUUUUUUUAAAUGCACCCCCCCCCCCUCCCCAGCUUAUUGUCUGGCUAUUUGAUGGGAUGCUGUUGACAAGAUCCGCAUUUGAAAGUCAUCAAUGUGUUAAUGAUUUAAGAUUGACUGUUAAGGUUAUCAGACUUAGCCUUGCCCUUUCUUGACACACAAUGCCUUCAAUAAACUGAUUUAUUUUGUUUAAUAAAAUAAUACUAGAAGCAA